UACGUAGGGUGCAAGCGUUGUCCGGAAUUAUUGGGCGUAAAGAGCUCGUAGGCGGUUUGUCGCGUCUGCUGUGAAAACUCGGGGCUUAACCCCGGGCCUGCAGUGGGUACGGGCAGACUAGAGUGCGGUAGGGGAGACUGGAAUUCCUGGUGUAGCGGUGAAAUGCGCAGAUAUCAGGAGGAACACCGGUGGCGAAGGCGGCCUGCUGGGCAGUGGCUGACACUGAGGCGCGAAAGCGUGGGGAGCAAACAGG
rnacentral:rRNA from 1 species